rnacentral:rRNA from 1 species
CGAUAACGAACGAGACCUUAACCUGCUAAAUAGUUAGGCCAACGUUUGUUGGUCGUCAACUUCUUAGAGGGACUAUUGACUAUUAGUCAAUGGAAGUUUGAGGCAAUAACAGGUCUGUGAUGCCCUUAGAUGUUCUGGGCCGCACGCGCGCUACACUGAUCAAGUCAACGAGUUUACAACCUUGGCCGGAAGGUCUGGGUAAUCUUUUGAAACUUGAUCGUGCUGGGGAUAGUCUAUUGCAAUUAUUGGACUUCAACGAGGAAUUCCUAGUAAGCGUGAGUCAUCAGCUCGCGUUGAUUACGUCCCUGCCCUUUGUACACACCGCCCGUCGCUACUACCGAUUGAAUGGCU